rnacentral:lncRNA from 1 species
UUUCCCCCAGUCGUGGCAACGUGGCUGCGCCACUGUCAGCAGUUUGUCCACGUGGAGGAGGCAGGGGAACCCCACGCCCACGGCCUCGCCCACCCACACACGGCUGGAGUUGACAGGACCCGCGGCCACGACUGCUCCCGAGCGCCCACCGUGGGCCACACCCCCGACGACCCAGCAGGGCAGGACCAGAGCUGCAAACCCGAAGGCACACGCAGGACAGCAGCCCGAACCGCCGGCCCGCAGGUCUUCAGGACCAGUCACACACGCAGAUGACGGGCCCAGGCCAGACACCGGAGGCCCCAAGGCGGGUUACUGGAUGGGGGCCUCUUACCCAAGACCUCAUCAGGCACCUUUCCUAGAUGCCCGGGGCUGGAAGCGUCUUUCAAAGCGCUCCCACCUGCCAUUCUUACGACAGCCCAGGGCGUGCGUGCAGGCGCCGUCUACAGGAGCAGACGCGAAGCUGAGUGGUGGCGCUGCAAAGUGGCCGGCGAGGGCUCCAGGCAGGUGCGCGGCUGGCCGGGCCGUCUUUGGGGCCUUAGCUCCUGCAGGUGCCCGAGACCCUCGGGCUGCCCUCUGGUGCCCGUGUCCUUCACUGCAACUCCGCAUCCAGCCCUGACCUACUCCCUUUCUUUCCGACCUUCACUGGAAGGUCCUCUAAGGGACACGGUCUAAGGAGACAUCUUGCCAGCACAGACCUACUCAUGCUAAUGGGGCAACGGUCCUAAGCUAAGAGGUGUAUUAACAGGCGUCUUUUGGAGAGUCACAGCGUUGAUGCAGACCUUCGGAUUCCAGCUCCUAAACAUCUCUCCACUCCUUCCGUCUUCCUGCCCGCUGCCACUGUUCCUAGCAAGGCACCAGCAGCUCGCCCUACCCUGUUCUGGGACCUGCCACCUGGAUCCGAGCAUGCACGCAGUCUUCUCAACGAUCCCCCUUUACCCACUCUCAGCGGCUCCCAAGCCAGUUACUCCACAACCAGCGGAAACUCUUAAGAAUGGAAAUCCAAUCUCAGCUGCUGCUGCUUAAAGGCCUUCAACGCCCCCAGUCCUCUGAGGAUUAAGAGCUAGCUUGGCUGAAGGGGAUUGAUUGGCCUCUGUCUGUCUCUAGGGCCUUUUGCAUGGCCUCUGCUCCCCAGACAGGUGCUCUU